GAUGAACGCUGGCGGCGUGCCUAAUACAUGCAAGUCGAGCGAACGGACGAGAAGCUUGCUUCUCUGAUGUUAGCGGCGGACGGGUGAGUAACACGUGGAUAACCUACCUAUAAGACUGGGAUAACUUCGGGAAACCGUAGCUAAUACCGGAUAAUAUUUUGAACCGCAUGGUUCAAAAGUGAAAGACGGUCUUGCUGUCACUUAUAGAUGGAUCCGCGCUGCAUUAGCUAGUUGGUAAGGUAACGGCUUACCAAGGCAACGAUGCAUAGCCGACCUGAGAGGGUGAUCGGCCACACUGGACCUGAGACACGGUCCAGACUCCUACGGGAGGCAGCAGUAGGGAAUCUUCCGCAAUGGGCGAAAGCCUGACGGAGCAACGCCGCGUGAGUGAUGAAGGUCUUCGGAUCGUAAAACUCUGUUAUUAGGGAAGAACAUAUGUGUAAGUAACUGUGCACAUCUUGACGGUACCUAAUCAGAAAGCCACGGCUAACUACGU
rnacentral:rRNA from 1 species